rnacentral:lncRNA from 1 species
CUUGAGUCUGUCAUGGCAGGUCCUGAAGUGAGGCCAGUGUGUCCAGUGUGUGCUUCAUGCCAUUAACAAAACUCGUCCUUGUCGUUAGAGAGGAGGCCCAGCCUCGUGAUGAGGAAUAGCAAGGAGAGAAUUCAGCUCCAGUUCAAAAGCCUACAAAAUCUGAGACUGUCACUGCUCGUGUAAGGAUUCCAGCUUUCCCUCCUGGCCAGAAAUGUUCAGCCUGGACUCAUUCAGAAAAGCCGGGGAUUGAUUUGUUCGAGAGGCUUUUCAUCAGGAGUGACGUUGUUAGCAUUCAGUCUCAUGGGAGCCAACAUAGCCUCACUGUGCAAAAAUUCUGGAGCCAGAUGCCUGGUUCACAUCACACUUCUGCACCCUUGCUGACCAAGGCUGGAGGCAGGUGACUGGGCCGCUGUGCC